GACGAACGCUGGCGGCGUGCUUAACACAUGCAAGUCGAACGGAAAGGCCCUGCUUUUGUGGGGUGCUCGAGUGGCGAACGGGUGAGUAACACGUGAGUAACCUGCCCUUGACUUUGGGAUAACUUCAGGAAACUGGGGCUCAUACCGGAUAGGAGCUCCUGAUGCAUGGUGGGGGUUGGAAAGUUUCGGCGGUUGGGGAUGGACUCGCGGCUUAUCAGCUUGUUGGUGGGGUAGUGGCUUACCAAGGCUUUGACGGGUAGCCGGCCUGAGAGGGUGACCGGCCACAUUGGGACUGAGAUACGGCCCAGACUCCUACGGGAGGCAGCAGUGGGGAAUAUUGCACAAUGGGCGGAAGCCUGAUGCAGCAACGCCGCGUGCGGGAUGACGGCCUUCGGGUUGUAAACCGCUUUCGCCUGUGACGAAGCGUGAGUGACGGUAAUGGGUAAAGAAGCACCGGCUAACUACGUG
rnacentral:rRNA from 1 species